AUAAAAAAUAUCUUAUUGAUUUAGCAUAUUUAAAAAUUGAAAACUGAUAAUACAUAAAAUUGAACCAAACCAACCGAUUCACACUCCUAAUUUAGGACAAAAUAAGUAAUUUAAUAUGAAAUAUUAAGCUAAAUAAGAUGAAUGAUCUUUUUAUAAACAGAUUAUUUAUUCUCAGAUAUCAAUUUUAGCACCAAAAACCAAAACAAUCACUAAAAACUAAUCCAACAUAACAUGUACUAAUCACGAGAAAAAGUAAAGGUUAUAAAUACCUUCAGAGAAUCAAACUAGACCACAAGAACAAUUUGGAUAAAUCUUGAUGGGCUAAAGUUGUGUCUCUGCAAUUGACUCUCUCAAGAUGAAGAUCCCCUAAAAAAACUCUCUUUGUUUGUGUCGUUGAAUUCUUUAUCUACAGCAGCAACAAUGUGAUGCUAUCAUCUCAAUUCAACUCAAAUUCAAUCAAAACUUUUCAAGAUUCCAAUCCUUGUUUGACUUGGUUUUCUCCACGCGAUUCGCUUGCUUUCUCCUAUUUUUCAAAUCUUCUUCCGUAUUGAUAAAUAUGAUACUCUUUCUAUAUUUUUCUUGCUCCCUAUUUCACAUGACUUGUCCCAAUCCCGAUUCUUGAAGGAAUCUUCCUUGCACUUGGAAUCUGCUUUGGUUUGAUCAGCAAUCUCUUCCAGUCCAUUAUGAAGGAGAUGAUUCCUUGAUGGUAUAUACUUCAAUCUGGAUAACAACUGUUGUAGAUUCAUUGCAUAUACUUCAAUCUCUUUAGACACUCCUAUUAUAGAUCUGGAUAGAAAUUAGGAACUUGUCCCUUAUGGUAUAUCUUGUUAUGAACACUAUCCGUCCUUAUUGAGACGUGAAGGACCUGAUUCUUAUGUACUUUGCUUGUCACUAAUUUGUUAAUCAUCAAAAGUUCAUAUUGCCCUAGUACAGGGGGCAGAUUGCUCUCCCUGAUACAUGGAGCUCUUUAGCUCGUUACUCCUAACUCAACACUUUUGAUUUACGUAAUCCAUUAACUAAUUGAAAGUUACCUCCGUGUAACCAAGAGAUUAAGAACUUGAGGCCACAAAUUUAGCCUCAUGCACAAACUGCAAGGUUAAAGCUUCUUAUUAAUAAGCAAUAUUGGUAUAAUCCUUUUUAUGACCAUACACAACGAGUGCUUAGUGUGCAUCAGACUGCCUCCAAAACUAAUAGGCAAAAUUAAUAAGCAAUUCCAACCAACAUCUGGUUGUAUACAUUGUUUGUGGGCAUGGUUACUGUGCAAGUGUCGAAUAGAGAGAGCAAUGGUGAACAGAAACGACGUUUUGUCAUCUCUCGCAAGACAGACAAUCGAUUAUAAACUGGUUUCACCAUCAAGUACCAGUUGUGUGCCUCUUAAAUCAUUAUAAUAUAGUAUUGAAAAUGGGGAUAGAGAGGUGGGACAGGAAGAUAGCCAUCCUUCAUCAAAAGUUACUAAUCACCAACUCAUUUGCUGUCUUACUACUCAGUCAUCAUAAUCAUGGACAAGUCUCCUUUAUGAUUUACAAAUACACCUCAGAAUAGCAAUAUCCUUUUUAUCAAGAAAAGAAAUCAGAAUAGCAAUAUAUUUUAUGACCCUUUUCUACCUACAAUGAAUAAAUCACAAUAUUUCCUUCCCUAUGUCCAUUAAAGAAUUCCACUUUCCUAUCUACAAUCCAUAUCUACCCUCCUUUUGACCCUUGAAUAUCCCCAGACUCAGACCAGAAAUGAAAACUAUAGGGAUUUUAAAAUUUACAUGGCUUAAAUAGAAUCCAGCAUUUAUUUCUAUGCACCGUGGAUCUUGGCUGCAAUCCGAGUCUUGAUAGGUUUCAGUUUUAACCCCAUGCUUUCUGGAGAGAGAAGCUCAGGGGCAAUGCAAGACGGACUGAGAGGACUUCUAGGGCUGCCACUGAACUGAUUUGGUCUGAAUAGUCCAUGCCCCAUGAGGAAAAACUCCAUUGGUAUUAACAUAGCAUGUGGCUGUUCUUCUGUCACCAUUGAUCCACAUGCCUGUACCUGCAAUCACACUCGUUCCUUAUUCCCUAUAUCCUGCUGCAUUUACAACAUCCAAGAACAGCAUAAUAGCAAAUGAUCCAUUUAGGCAAUACCAACUUAAUGGGAUUAAACUAGUUAUCCAGGUACUGAGUAAACAUGAGUGAGAUUCGGAGGCACCUAAUUUGCUUUAAUAGUUGACUAAAUGAAGCAGAAUAGAUAUACAGCAAUAUAGCUGACUCAACUGAUUACCGAGAGGCACAGUUGAUUGGUUGUUAGAUCUAUAAAUAGUACCUAGCCUAGAUAGCUAAAUAUCAAUGAAUAUUUAACUGCACAAGGAAUCCACAGCGUAUUUACAAUAAGUUCAAAUGGUGCAUCAUUAUACAUAAAAUUGACGACAUACCUCAACUAGGGCACUGAAUCUUCGAUCUAAUUUAGCCGUCAUAUGGAGGGCCUCCGAAUGGAAAGGAGAGUCAUCCCCGACAAAUAUGAGGAUUCGACAUUUGACUGUCUUUAAUCCAUCUGUGAUAUCAGUUCUCCUGUUUAUCCAUAAAACCAGGCUUAGAGAGGUGUUGACAAGUAUGCAAAUGAUGAAACCAGUACAGAUAUUUAAGCAGUGAUGUCUAGUUUGCUACCCAUCAAUGGCUUGAAGAAAGCGCCAAACAUUCAUACUCUGCCUCUCGUCUAGCAACUGCAACGUUAAAGGACCCAGAAAGAAGAGAAGAUACUUAAACAAUGUCCAGUUGAAGAAGAAUCAAAUUGAACAAUUGAUCAUAUACUAACACAGUGGAGGCAUUUACCCUUCUGCAUGCUUGAGCUAUAUCUGAUUCUGGAACAUCUGCAGAUCCACGAACUUCCUGAUAACAAUUGAAAUGACCUUAUUCAAUCCAAUUGGUAGAGGAAAAAAAGAUACAUGCCAAAAUUUCCAAGUGAAAAGACUAGGGAAUGCAUGUAAGGUACCUUGCUGAAGUAGCGGUGCAGCAGAAACUCUUUCAGAACACCACACAUCCCGUAGAAGUAUAUUAAAUUUGACAUGACCUGUAUUAACAAUAAUCUCCUCUUUCAUAGAGCAGAAUUUCUUCUCACAACAUAAAGGUAAACAGAAGAUAUAAAAUGAUACCUUAUUGUAAAACCAUUCAGUCCAAGAAGGUGCUCUGCAUAGAGGGGAAACAAGAAUCAAACCAAGAACACGCUCCCUAUGUUUCAUCUGUGACAGGUGAGCUUUGUUAGUAAAGUUCAACCUCACACCACCAAUUGAAAGUAUCAGUAUGACAUUAUUGGAGAAGACAUACAGCAAAUAAGGUGAGUAUGUAAGCACCAGCAAUUACUCCCAUACACAUCACUGCUCCAAGCCUAAAAGCAGCAAGAAUCUCAUAAUUAGUAAGAAAGAGCUCCUCACAACUUAACAAAGAUAUCUAGUAAGUCAAAAGGGUCAAAGAAACAACAGGUUUGACAGACUUUAGACCAAGUAUGAUAAAAACACCGAGUGACACAAACAAAGCUAAAGUGAUUACCCAAAAUAGUUAAGAACCUCAGCUAUCUGAUCUGUUAAAUCAUCCACCGAUGGUACAGGAAUCUCUGAACAAAUUGCUGAUGCUCCCAGCUGCAAGAACUCUUGUACAAUUCAGAGAAGAAAACUAUGUAAGUAAUGGAAUUCAGUAAAAGAGAGUUUGACAAAAAAUAGAAGAAAGCCUAAUGUGACUUCAUGAAACAAACUUGACCAGUUCACAAAGACCUCAUGCCCAGGAGGACUAAUGUGGUAAAUGCAAAAAUUGUGGAGCAGCAAAGAAGCUGCUUCUGGACAGAAGAAGAGUCCUUGGAAACAUGACAUAUCUGCAAGAAUAAAUGAUAAAAUAUAGCUUAAAAAUGGAAGUUAACAUUUAACAUAAGACAAUACAGGCGAUGUUUGAGUACAUUAAUAGAAAAUCCCAAGAAAAGGGAUACAUGAAAAGAUACAAAUCUAUGACUAACAAUUUAGUGCUAGAUCAGGAUAAGUGAUUAGUGCCGGCUUCUCUUGGUCCCCAUAUACUAUAACUGACACAGAACCGUAGCCAGUACGUACAACAUGCUCCUGCAAAAAGGUCACUUGCUUCAUGUUAAUUGACCAGGAGAUAGGAGCUACAUCAUGUAAAAAGUAUCUCAUCCCUCAAAAUAUAUCAACAACAACAACAUACCCAGUGUAUUCCCACAAAGAGUGGUCUGGGGAGGGUAAAGUGUACGCCGUCCAUACCACUACCUCAGAUGAAGUAGAGAGGCUGUUUCCGAUAGACCCCCGGUUCAGGACAAAUAAUAGUAUAACAACCAGAAAACAUAAAAAUAAACAAUAAAAUAGGGUAGCACACCACUAGAUAAUAAAAGAAACAAGACACCCACAGAGCAAUACUAUGAACCAUCUAGUUUCAAAAACAAAAAAUACUAUUACUAUCUAUCCAAAAUCACAAACAUCACCAAAACACCACGAACAAGAAACUACAAGACAUGUGUAUAACACUAUGACUAUAGGUACAUUGACACUAUGACUAAAGGUACAUCGACAAACAAAGCACUCCUUACUCGUAAGGACGCACUCCUACCCACUAAUCCUCUACCUUAAUCCGCGUCCUCCACGCCUUUCUAUCAAUGGUCAUGUCCUCUGGCAGCUGUAGCUGCUCCAUGUCAUGUUUAAUCACUUUCCUUCAAUAUUUUUUUGAACUACCUUUACCCCGUUUGAAACCAUCCAUAGCGAACCUCUCACACCUUCGUACUGGAGCAUCGGUGCACCGCCUCAUCACGUGUCCAAACCAUCUCAACCUCACUUCCCUUAUCUUAUCUUCCAUCGAAGCCACUCCCACCGUCUCUCGAAUAAUCUCAUUUCUAACCCUAUCCAUCCUAGUAAGUCUGCAUAUCCAUCUCAAUAUCCGCAUCUCUGCCACUUUCAACUUUUGGAUGUGGGAGUUUUUAAUUGGUCAACACUCCACUUCAUACAAUAUAACCAGUUGAAUUGUCACUCUGUAGAAAGCUUAGGAGGCACCUUCUUAUCACACAAAACUUUCGAUGCAAGCCUCCAUUUCAACCUCCCUACGGUGCAUGACAUCCUCGGCAAUCUCUCCAUUACCCGAAAUCAUAGAUUUAACAUACUUGAAACUAUUUCUCUUUCAAAUGACUUGUGCCUUGAAACUAUUUCUCUUUCAAAUGACUUGUGAAUCCAGCUUCACUAUCAUGUCAGCCUCAUGCGUCAAAUCACUGAACUUACACUCCAACUACUCUAUCUUGGUCCUGGUCCUGCUCAGCCUAAACCCUUUAGACUUUGGGGUCUGUCUCUAAACCUUCAACUUAUCAUUAACUCCUCCCCGAGUCUCGUCAGUAAGCACUACAUCAUCAGCAAAUAACAUACACCAAGGAACCUCCCCUUAAAUAUGUUGUGUCAAUACAUCCAUCACCAAGGCAAAUAAAACGGACUAAAAGUCGAUCCCUGAUGCAACCCAAUCAAAACAAGAAGGUGCUCUGAAUCUCUUCCUACCAUUCUUACACGAGUCUUUGCUCCGUCGUACAUGUCCUGAAUCAACAUAGUGUAUGCCACAAGCACACCUCUAACCUCCAAGCAUCUCUCUUGGGACUUUAUCAUACGCCUUUUCAAGAUCGAUGAACACCAUGUGCAAGUCUUUCUUCCUCUUCCUAUAUUGCUCCACUAAUCUCCUUACAAGAUAAAUGUCUUUAUGAGUCCAACAACCUGACAUAAAAGCAAACUGAUUUUCGGAAAUAGUCACAAUCCUCCUCAACCUACCACUCUUGCCCAAACCUUCAUAGUGUGACUCAACAACUUGAUAUCCUUAUGGUUGUUGCAACAUUGAAUGUACCCUUUGUUCAUAUAUAAAGGAAUCACCGCACUCCAUCUCCAAGCUUCCGACAUCUUUGCCGUCCUAAAGAUGAUGUUAACAACCUUGUCAGCCACUCCAUACCUCAAAAUAUAUCAUCGAUGGAAAUUCUGCUAACCAGUAUAAUAUAUAAAACAGAAUAACCGUUCAAGUAAAAUAUAAAUGCAAAUAGUAAACUAACUUGUGUCCACGAAAUGAGAUGUCAAACAAGAAAUCUUCUGAAUAAUUAGAUAAAGGGUAAAAUAAAAUCAAAAUUGGGCUGGGGAGGAAGGAGACAAAUACUAGUGGGAUGGUUUUCCAUCGCAUCAGCAUUUUCUUAGUGAACAAAGCACCAACGAGGAAGGUAUUUUAGUGGUUAUCAUUAAUAUGUCAAUAAUGCUAACUCUUCUUCUAGUGUCAAUCCUGGAUUGGGAAGAAGUGCUUUCCCAACUUGUUGUUUCUCUAAAACUAGUUCAGCCUAAAAUCCAACAGGCAACUCAAAUAAAAUUCUGAAAAGAAUGUGUUUGCCUCAUCAACAUCACACAAGAUCACCUAAUUUUCCUCCUAGAUAGGACAAUAAUCACCUAAUUUUCCUCCUAGAUAGGACAAUGAAAUUUAUACUACUAAUAAUAAAUAUGGCUUAAAUAUGGUUGAGUAAUAGACCCUUGGGGUCCGGCCACUUCCAAGACACCGUGCACAAUGGGAGCUUUAGUGCAGUGCACAGGGAUACCCAAUAAAUAUGGCUUAGCAAUCCAAAUAAGAUGCCAUUUUGCAAGUGUAGGAUGAGUUUAACAUUUAAGACAACAAGGAGGAUAUGGGCGAAUAUCCUAAGAGAUUUUGAACCCCCAUAAUCCAGAAAGUGUUGUAUUGAUGGCCUUCAAAGAAAUAAAUGUCAGGACUAAUGGAAAAGAAAAUUGGGAUAAUUCAAGCGCUUCUCUUGUCAAAUACUCCCUCCGUCUCAAAUUAUCCAUCCCAAAUUGAGAUGACACAUUAAUUAAAAAAAUUAAUCAAUGACAUGGCUAAUUUAAUAUAGUACCCCUAUUAAAUAAUGCUUACAUUUUAAUUUAAAGAAAAGACCAUGAAUUUUUUUUUUUGGACAGGAUUGCAUCAGGGAUCUACUCUUAGUCCCUUUUUGUUUGCGUUAGUAAUGGAUGUGUUGACGCGGCGUAUUCAAGGGGAGGUGCCGUGGUGUAUGCUCUUUGCAGACGAUGUAGUUCUGAUAGAUGAGACUCGAGGGGGUGUAAAUGACAAAUUAGAGAUGUGGAGGCAAACUCUUGAGUCUAAAGGGUUCAGGGUGAGCAGAAGCAAGACAGAGUAUGUGGAAUGUAAGUUUAAUGACGUGAGGCGGGAGAACGAGGUAGUAGUGAAGCUGGAAGCACAGGAGGUAUGUAAGAGGGAUAAGUUCAAGUAUCUCGGGUCCGUGAUUCAGAGUAACGGUGAGAUUGACGAGGAUGUCUCGCACCGUAUUGGGGCGGGAUGGAUGAAGUGGAAACUCGCGUCGGGGGUGCUGUGUGAUAAGAAGGUGCCGCCCAAGCUUAAAGGCAAAUUCUAUAGGGUGGUAGUCCGUCCGGCCUUGCUGUAUGGAGCGGAGUGUUGGCCAGUUAAGAACUCCCACAUCCAAAAAAUGAAGGUGGCAGAAAUGCGGAUGUUGCGCUGGAUGUGUGGACUGACUCGAGGGGAUAGAGUUCGGAAUGAGACUAUCCGGGAGAAGGUUGGUGUGACUUCAGUGGAGUGUAAGAUGCGGGAAGCACGAUUGAGAUGGUUCGGACACGUGAAGAGGAGGGGCAUGGAUGCCCCGGUCCGUAGGUGUGAGAGGCUAGCGUUGGAUGGUUUUAGACGGGGUAGGGGUAGACCGAAGAAGUACUGGGGUGAGGUGAUUAGGCGGGACAUGGAACAGUUACGCCGGAUUGGGUCGCUAGUGGAGGGAAUUACUUGGUGGGGGUUUUUUAUUUUUUAUUCCCGUUAUGAUUCCGUAUUCAGUAUUCCAUGCUUAUUACGAAUCUGUGUGCUUUCCUCUGCUUUCCUCUGUUUUAUAUUCCUUAUGGGUGCCGUAUUUAUGUUAUGUCAUCUGCUUCUGUGCUUUACUAUGUGUUUGUGUGAUAUCUUGUGCCUUGAGCCGGGGGUCUUUCGGAAACAGCCUUUCUACUUCAUCAGAGGUAGAGGUAUAGACUGCGUACAUCUUACCCCCCAGACCCCACUAAGUGGGAAUACACUGGGUUUGUUGUUGUUGUUGUUGUUGUUGUUAUUGAUUAAUGAAAAAAGAUAAAGUCAAAUUAGGAAAUUUGGAACGGAGGGAGUAAAUAUUUAAAUUUUCAAGGAAUAACCCACGGAUCUGCAAUUAAUUAUAGUCUAUAGAUGAAAGAGAUAGUAACUAUUACAUGUGUAAGAGUAAAGAUAGAGGGGCAGGGACUCGAACAGUUGAAAAAAGCCAACUAACGUAAAAAGUAGAGGGAGAUCCAGUGGUUUUCUCCUUCAUAAGAAAUUUCCAAUAAACGCCAAUUUCUAUUUCCGUUCAAUCAAACAAAAUGCUUUCGGUCAGUACAUAAAGGUAUUUUUCAAAAUAUUGAUCUGUCUCCAUACAAACACAUAUAGAGAGAAAAAUAGAACCUUUCCACCAAGAUAGAUUGUCUCAACGUCGAGCGAAACGGAAUCACUGCUUGAAUCUGACAUGGCUUUUGGUUAUCUGUCUCCACAGCUAACCAGAAAGCCAAGAAGCCUCUCCUCUCCUCUCUCUUUCUCUCUAAAUGUUUCACUUUCUGUACAUAUAUUCAACAAAGAAGAAAGAAAGAAGAAGAAGAGGCCCUUGAGCUUCAAUGGCUUCUAUACCAAGUUAUUCUUUCUUUCCCUUUUUCUUUCUGUUUUUCAAUCUUUUUUCUCUGUAUGAUUUCUAUUUUCGGUUCCUUCCUUCUCGCUCCACACCUUUUCCUACGCCAUUUUUUUAAUUUUUGAAGUAUGUAUUACCCGAACUUCUCUAGUUUUAUUUAUGAUAGAUCUGAAGUUUGAUUUAUCUUAAAUACCCCUGAACUUAUUCUUUAAGUAUAUCGCACGACCCUUUUUGCUGAUGUAGUAAAAUGUUUAGGUUUUACACUCUAUUACGCACGUGAUGAAGUAAUUUUUAAGUCAAAUUAGUCUUUUUAAUGAUUAAAAAAAUGAUUUUUUUUUUCAAAAAAUUCAAUUAUCUCUCUCAAUAUUUAUUAUCCCUCUUCCUUCAUUACUUUCAAUCUUAAAAAAAAAAAAAUUUAUCAAUUUAUUAAUUUUAUAAACUCAUGUUUAUCUCUUAAUUAGUUUAUGAAAUAAAAUUCUCAUCCGUUAAUUAAUUUUGUAAAAAAUUUGUUUAUUACUCUAAAAAAAAAAUUCACCCGUUUAUUAAUUCAAUCUAAAACUUCAGUUUUCAUUUUUAUGAAACUACUUCAAUUUUUAAAUCUUAAUUAUAUAUAUCAUAUGAGUUAUUGUAACUAAAGAAAUAUACUAAAUAUCGAAGCAAAUAUUUUAAAAGAUAAUAACAAAACAAAUACUAAAGAAACUAAUACAAUACUUACAAUAAAGAGAAUGUAGUUAUAUUGAUUAUUGAUUUUUAGUCCCUAACAAUUUGAUUUUCGAUUUAACUGAUAAGAAAAUACUCAUAAAAUAAAAAAAGUAGUAACUAACAUGAAAAGAAAUCGAAUCUUAGUUAACCAAAAUUCUACUUUUAUAUAUAUAUAUAUAUAUAUAUAUAUAAUGUAGAAUAAUAAUUUAACAUAAACUUAUUGGGUUAUCAGUUUAUACAAUAACCCAGUAAAAAAAUCAAAAUCGAAUCAAUAACCUAAUAAUUUUUCUUAUAAAAUCAUUAAAAAAUCGUUAAUCCUAUAAUGAUAAAUCAAUAACAUUUUUAUUGGUUUGAUUUUUGUACGUUCCUAACUUAAAUUGUAAUUUUUUAUUCCGUUAAUUAUACUAAAAAACGUAUUUGUGCAUGUGAGUCUCCUCAAAAUCCUAAUUGAAACACUAAUCAGAAACUACUAUGAAACACUAACCGGAAAAAAAUAAUUUCAUAUUUUUAACACACCAAGAAAUAUAAAUUUUUAGAUAAUAGCUUACUUGAUUGACGAAAAUUCAUCAUUAAUAUUUUGGAGUAGAGAAAAACUGAAAAAUAUAAUUUUUUUUAGAGAGAAAUCGGAUAAUAAAGAUAUAAGAGGCUUAAUAUAAGAUAAAAAUAAGGGAAGUGGAUGGUAUUUAACAAUGUGGACAGCCACAUUAGUGUUUUUUUCUACAUAUCCGCGCGUGUAUUACACGAAGUGGACUUUCAGCAAAAAGGGGCCACGCGACGUACUAAAAGAAUAAGUUCGGGGGGCAGGGGUACUUAGAACUAGUAAACGUUCAGGUGUACCAUGAAUAAAACUCGAGAAGUUCAGAGGGGCAUUUCAUUGGAUUGGAGAUCACCCCAUCAACCCAACCUAACCAUUUAUUAAUUCAUAAGUGUUGGAUAAACUCCGACCAAAUAUCAAAGUAGCGAAAAAUAAAUCUCAUAGUCAAUACUUAGACAAUAUCUAACAUUUCAUUAAAUAUAUUCAAGUUCACAGUCAUCCACAAAGCCUCUAACAAACUGAUGUCAAUAAUAUAUCGGGACAUACCCCCGACAAUAGCCAAAUACUAAGUCUAUGACUUAAAGUAAAAGACUAUGAAAUGUGUGCCCUCCAGAGAAUGAAAGCUCACUACUUCAAUGUCAAUGCUCGAACCGCUCAAACACCUGGUCACUGCGUAGAAGAGGAAGAAGAAGCUACGACCCCUAUAUCGCGUGGGGAUAUAGCGUCAGGAGACGGUUAGCGGUUGGAGCGCCAGCAUGUAUCUCAAGGAUGAUGAUAAAAUAGCGCAUUUGUUCAAUCCAAGUCAAACCAUCAUAUGAAAUCACAUUUAUGUUAGUAUAGGCAUAUACGAAGAUACACACACAUGUUUAUAUAUAGCAUGCCAAUUCAUAGAAAGAGUCAUAACAAUCACUCUUAAAAAUUCAUUCAUAAGACAUGGAGUGAAGAACUUUCAACCUUUCACCUUACCAAUUCUAGAACCUUAAACUUCUCUGUUACAUUAGUCAAGGGGGUUCGAGCCUCAAACCAACUCAACCAAUUCAUUAGGCAAAGGACUCUAACCACAAGCUGUUUCAUUGGGUGAGGGACUCCAACCACAAGCCAUUUCAUUAGGCGAGGACUCCAACCACAAACCAUUUCAUUGGGCAAGGGAAUCCAACCAGAAGUCAUUUAAUUGGGCGAGGGACACCAACCUCAAGCCAUUUCAUUACCAUUACUAGUUGACAUUUGAGCUCGUAACCCCUUUAGUUUAUGCCUUAGCAUCCAUGUAAUUCAUUUCAAUUCUUAAGGACUUGAACCAUUUAUCCAAAACAUAACAACAUGGGACCAUAAGGUUUUCAUGGGAACAUUUAUCGAUUGAACAUUUUUAUUAGGCCAAUGCCUUAACUCAAAUCAUCAUUCAAUUCAUUCGGUGGCCAUCAAGACCCUUACCAAACCAUUUACCAAGCAUUCAUAUUCAUCACCAAUCAAUACAUAGUCAACAAGGCUUUAGCUAAUCAAUUACUAAGUGCUCACAUGCAUUGCUACAAUAUCUUAUCUUAUUCAUAUUCACUAGACCAAUAUCCUAGUUCAACACACCAUUAACAUGCGAGUAGAAAAUUCAUUUAGAUAUUUUCACAAACACUUUAUGUGCGUUCCUUUAUAAAGACUAAUUUCAUGAUGGAAUUCAUAAUUAUUAGGGUUAUUCAAGACCCAUAUAUUAGAUCACACACAUAAAGUACUCACACAUGCAAGCCAUCAUUAAUAACAUGUAUAAUCACAAGCUUAAGCAAGAAUAAACAUCAUUCAUCAUUGACAACAAAAUCCUUUUUUAUUUAUUUUAAAACCACCACGUACACCUACUAAUCCAAGUGUGACAUACAUGGUUUUUGAGUUAUUUAACAAGGGAGAGAGUUACGUGUAUUAUACAAGUUAAUUCAAUGAAGAACUUGACACCUCUCUUGCCUCUAGAUGAACCCUCUUUAAACCCUAGCCUCCAAUUCUUUAAAUGGGCUUGAAAGAGUAUUUAGGAUGUUUGAUCCACUAAAAAUGGAUGUUUAGAAGGCUACAAAAACUUAUAUAGUGAGGGGACUUAGGAUUUUGGGUGUGGGAAAUGACCAUAAGGUCCUCAACUAAAAGCUAGAAAAUGAGCUCGUCAUUGGGUACGACUCACUUAAGGAACAACACCCUAGGGUACGAAUGGUGCCCUAACUCGUACCUUAGUCUUUUCUUAGCUAUUCCAUACUAGUUAGGGUACGAAUACCCAUUAUUGAGUCGUAUCUAAAGGGUAUGACUUAUGCCCUAAACCGUAUCCAUCAACCAUACCAAAAAUAGUCUACUCCAAGAUAAAACUUUAUUCUAUACGAUUGGUCUUGGUACGACUCAUACCUUAAGGUAUGAUUGGUUGGAGGCUCACUCAUAACUAGGACAAUGAGUGACCCUCACCACACUACCUAGGGUAUGAGAGGGAAGGGAGAGAGGGAUACAACUCAUAUCCAGGGGGUACGACUUAUGCCCUUAGUCGUACCUAGCUCAGAGACACCAAAUAAGGAAAUUUUUCAAUGGUUAAAAGUCUAGGUGUUUCAUGUAGGGCAACCCAAGGAUCUUAAGAAUUUCAUAAAUCUGAAGCCAUUGAAGUUUGAUGCUACACCAUCUUAUAUUGAUCCUCAAAAGUUUAUAGAUUGUUGUGAGAAAAUACUUACUACCUUGGGAUUGAAGGAGACUUGUGGUGCAGAAUUUACCACUUUUCUGUUCCCAAGGUCUCCCUAGGCAUGGUGGACUUUUGUUUUGAGAGGUAGACAAGCAGUGCUGCCACAAAUCACUUGGUCAGAGUUUUUAACCAUGUUUAUGGACAGAUUUAUUCCAUUAAGAAAACAACAUGACAUGAGAUGCCAGUUUAAUAACCUUAUACAAGGAUCUAUGACAGUUAUAGAGUACGAGGCCAAGUUCACUUAGUUUCCAGGUAUGUUCCAUAUUUAGCUGAAGAUCAUAGAGAGAAAGUAAGAAGAUUUAUGGAUGGAAUUGAGGCUCGUUAUCGUGGUCAAGUGAUACGAGAUGUGUGUAAUGGAUCCUAUGCUGAGGUGGCAGGCAUUUCUCUUCGUUCUGAGUCUUGUUAUGAGAUGGAAAAGAUUAAUUAAGAAAACAAAAAUGCACGUAACUCAGGUGGGUUUAGUGGUACUCCUUCUAGGAGCAAGAGUGGUUUUUAUUUUGGUUAGUCUAGGACUGCGUAGUCAGAGUCAGUGGGCUAAUAUUGAAAGAAUAGUUAUCCAGCUAGACAGGGUCAGCAGUAGAUGCAGCAAAAUAGUAGCAAUUUUUCAGUUUGGACAACAUUCAAAAUAGUAGCAUUGUUUUGGAGUGGGAGGGCCUUGUUAUAAUUGUUGUAAAAGAGGUCAUAUUGCUAAGUUUUGUCUUAAGGGAGAUUCUAGUUCUAGUCAAGCUAAUACACGGGUGCAAAAUGUUAUUGCAAGUACUCGGGCUCACGCUUAGCCAGCUAGGAUUGCUCCAUAAGAUGCUCGUGGACAAAGUCGAUAAGGUGCUCAGGGUGCUUAGACAGCAGGUGGACCACCAAAAAUCAAGAAUUUGGACCCCUUUUGUGAUGACUAUUCAUGAAGGCCUAUCACGAACCUGACGGCCUAUCACGGAUGGUGUCAAGUAUAUUUUUCCAGCAAUUCAAGAGAGUUUUUGCAAGGGUAUUUUGGUCAUUUUCCACCCUUUUUGAGCCUCUAUAAAUAUAAGGAACCCUCAUUCAAACCCUAAUUUCUCUAUUUCUCUUCCAAUUCUCUAAAGAGAGAAUAUCUAGGAUUUCAAUUCAAGAACCCUAAUCUUUCAAAAAUCAUCGAUAAAUCUUCAAGGUUUCUUCAAGAAUCAAGUUCCUCAUAGUGUGGGCUCUAGGAAUUUAUUUAUUUCAACUGUGGAUAAAGUUUCAAGCACUAAAGUUCAUCCAAUUUCAAUGGUUAAGGUAUGUAGAUGUUGAUUCUUGGGUCCUUUUCAUCCAAAAAGCUCAAGAACCCUUUUUAAAACUAAAAGAUUUUUAUGUUUAUGAGUUGUUAAUGAUUUGUAUGAGUUGAAAUGGAUGUUUAAUAUGUUGUUGAGUUUUGAUUUAUGUUUGCCUACAAAAUUUAUGAGCUUUGACCCUAGUAUGUGGAAUUCAUGUGAUGAUUGUGAUAGACCCUCUUGAAGUUGUUUUUUCAUAUCAUGUGUUCAUGACUUUUGGGUAUAGAAAUAGUUGAAUAAGUGAAGAAUGUUCCCCAUAGGUUUGAUAAAGAGCUUAGGUGAAGCAUAAGGGCUGCUAUAGUAUGUUGAAUCGGAAACUCCAAAUUGUGAGCUAGUCCUUGCAUGCCUAGUGUUUGAUAAAAUGCCUUAGUGAGUGAAAUGUGCCAAGAUAGCAUGAAAUCCCCAAGUAGGUGUAAAAUCGGUCGUGUCUAGUGGUUGUUGAAAGACCCUAGGGAACAAAGGAACAAGUCAAGAUAUAAUGGUUGUAAAUUCCCCAAUUUUGUGCUCUUUGAUAUAUGCUAAGAUUUUAAUGCAUGUCAAGUGGUUAGCAAGUAAAUAGUGACGUGUUAGUAUGAAGUUUCCCCCAAAUCAAGUGAUAUCUAAAUACAUGAUAAGACCGAUAUAGGUAUGAAGUACUUGAUGUAAGAUCUCGUUGAAUGCGGUAUAAUCCAAUAGCAUAUCUUCCCUAGGCUAGUAUAUGAUGAUGAUAGAGGUCUAUGUUUCCUAAAGGCUUAAUAUGAUGUCCUAAGGAUCUUGAGAGGAAAAGUAUGUUGUGAUGCCCAACUACUUGAAGUGAUUCUUUAACGAUUGUGAUAAUACAUGAAUGAUUGUAAUGAUGAAUGAAUGAUGGUAGUGAUGAAUGGAUGACCGUGAUGAUGCAUGAAUGAUUUGUGAUGAAGAAUGAUUAUGUCUUACUUUUAUGUUAUCGAGUCCUGGGGGUAUUUAUACCCAAAAAUAAAGCUGUUGUCUAGAGCCUGUGUCAGUUUCUCGAUAAUUCCAAUCGACCCAUGAUUCUCAAAACUCAGUGCACUAUAGAACUCUGUUUCUUCAGACAAGUGCGAAGCUUAAUAAAGCUCGAUAAUCUCAGUUAUCUUUGUAAUCUCUGUAUCGCUAGUAACCUCGCCUUAAACCUGUAAUCAGCUCAGUUCUAAUAGUAUUCAAGUGAUUCAAUCUUAAUCUUAGAAGCGAUUUGUGUAAUCCAGUCAAGCUCUAUAUCGUCAGUCAGAUACCAUGAAUCGAUAUCUUUUCCGUCAGAUACAGAAACAAGUGAUCUCAGCGUAACUCAGUCAGACUUUUUGAGUAAUAUGAUCAGUGUCAGAUUCAGUUCAACCAGUGUUUAGUUUAGAUUUCAAUUCUGAGUCUUUCAGUUAGGAGUAGAAACUAGCACUGAGCGAGCUCAAGGAUAGGAUCUCACCUACUAGUAGAGGGUGUGAUUCUUAGAAACAAUCCUUAUGCUCCAGAACUACGCAGCCAGCGUAGGUUGAGACAUCACACCUAUUAGUUGAGGGUGGAUGAGAGACAUCAUACUUACUAGAUGAGGGUAGAUAAGAUGGCUUGACUUGCUAGAUUAGGGCUCCACCGCCCUCGUUUGAGGACCUUCUAGAUGAGGGUCACAUAGAGUUGUCUUUACCAGUGGCAUGGUAAUGACACCCUUCCAACUAGGGAACAGGUUGGACCCCACCUGUGGUAGGUCGGGGCAUGUCGGUUAAGUGACUACUUCCCACAGUUUCAGUUUCAGAUUCAGUCUCAGUUUCAGAAUUAGUCUUCAAAAAUCAGGACUUCAGAUACAGUCAUCUAUCAUUGUGAGGAACUUAAAUAGUUCCAUUGAUUUAUGGACCAUCCCAUCAGUUAGACUUGGUCUCACAUACAGUUAUUUGAUAUCAUAUUUAGAGAUAUGCAAAAUCCCAUAAGGACCAACAAAUCGAGGAAUGAGUUUCCCCUUCUUGCCAAUCCGGACUACUCUCUUCAUAGGAGAAACCUUUAGGAACAUCCUAUCCCCAACCUCAAACUCCAAGUCUCUACGCCUGACAUCUGCAUAGGACUUUUGGCUACUCUGAGUAGCCUUAAGCCUAUCCUGAAUCACCUCACCUUCUCCAUAGCGCGAUAGACCAAAUCGGGACCAAACAUAUCUUCCUCAUUAAGCUCAAACCAUCUAAUAGGAGAUCUACACCUCCUACCAUAAAAUACCUCAAAAAGAGCUAUACCAAUACCAGAAUGAUAGCUAUUGUAGUAAGAAAACUCCACCAAAGGUAGAUGCUUAACCCAACUACCACCAUAAUCAAUCAUGUAUGCCUGAAGUAUGUCCUCUAAUGUAUGAAUAGUUCUCUUCACUUGUCCAUCUGAAUGUGGAUGAAAAGCAGUACUCUGACUAACCUUAGUCCCUAAUCCCUUCUGGAAAGACCGCCAGAAAUAAGAGGUAAACUGCGUACCAUGAUAAAAAAUAAUCAAAAUAGGCACCCCAUGAAGCUUCACAAUCUCUUAAAAUACAACUUCGCAUACUUUCCCGUUGAAAAGGUAGUCCUUACUGGCAAAAAGUGAGAAGGCUUGGUCAUCCUAUACAUGAUGACCCAAAUCAAAUUAAAAUAAUUUUGAGACCAAGGAAGACCGGUAACAAAAUCCAGAUUGAUCAUAUCCCACUUCUAUUCAGGAAACUCUAUUUCUUGAUGCAACCCACCAGGCCUCAUAUGCUCGACCUUAACCUGUUAACACACCAUGCACUUGGCUAUGAAGUCAACCACAUCCUUCUUCAUACCAUUCCACCAAUAGAUUUCCUUGAGAUCAUGAUACAUCUUUGUCGAACCAGGAUGGACAACAUAGCACGACUUAUGUGCCUCAAUCCUAAAUCUUUUGUUGCAACUCAUUGAUAUUCAAAACACAUAACCUCCCUUGGUACCGCAAAGUACGAUCACCACUAAUUUCAAACACCGCCACCUUUUCCCACAAACAUCACUCUUGGUUCUCAUCAAGACUGGAUCCAACACUUGCUUCUCCUUAAUCUCUGCACCUAGAGAUGAUCGAACCACUUCUUGCACCAUCACACCACCAUUUUUGAAAUCCAAGAGACAAACUUCAAUAUUGGCCAAAUGGUGAACGUCCUUCACUAAUUCCCGCUUUCCUUCCUCCACAUGAGUAAAAUCUCCAUAGACAACCUGCUAAGAGCAUUGGCAACCACAUUAGCCUUACCUAGGUGGUAGUGAAGACUCAUAUCAUAGUCUUUGAAAAGCUCAAGCCAUCUCCUUUGCCUGAUAUUAAGGUUCUUCUGUGUGUACACAUACUGAAGACUCUUAUGAUUCAAAAAGAUAUCUAUGUGAAAACCAUACAGGUAAUGCCGCCAUAUCUUCAAAGCAAACACAACAGCCAACAACUCUAAAACAUGAGUCGAAUAAUUCCUCCCAUGCACCUUUAACUUCCUGGAAGCAUAGGCAAUCACCUUCCUAUGUUGCAUCAAAACACAACCAAUCCCUACCUGAGAUGCAUCACAAUAAACAACAAACCCAUCAUUGCCUUCUGGCUAGUCAAAAUUAGAGUCGAGGUCAACCUACUGUACAAUUUCCUCCGAAACCUCUACGAUCCACGACUCAGUUACACAUUUCGCUAUUAAUGCCCAAAUUAAAACCAUAUCCAAACAAAUCCAAUUACCAUUUAUUAACUAAGGCCAUUUAUUAUUAGAAUCUUCAUACCAACCAUACUUGCAAGAUUUAUCCAUAGCCAAACCAUUUCGAUUAAGGGGACUCUCGACUGCCCUAUCCAUUUACCAUAUUAACCUCUUGAGUGACUUCCAUGUACUCCACAAGCAAAACCAAUGAGCCUUUAACCUUUGUAAACCAUUUAUAGUUUCAUGCAUAAGCUGAAAAUAAGCAAGAGUUCCAUUUAAAGAAGUCAAUGUAAUGAACAUAUCUUUAUAAGCAUUUUAUCAAACACCUUGGAGACAUAAUAUAACCAAACCAAUUCUAGAGACCAUUAAACUAUUACCAUGCAAUCCAAUUGCCCAAAACCGCCAUCAAUGCAUAUAAAAGCAUAAUUAAACUAUAGGAAACCAUAACUAAACCAUUUACACCAAAACCCCCAAUUAAUAGUUAAAAACUAUAACCCAUGCAACAUUAAAACCACGAAAACAACCAUAAAAUUCAUGCCUAUUAGAAAUAGUAAGUAGGGAAGAUACACAUGCCUUAAACCGAGAAAUAUGAUGGAAGAAAAUCCCCAAAGCAAUCCUCAAGUUGAAACCCUGGCUCUCUUGCCCCAAAAGCUCUUAAGAGAAUUGUUGAAUGUUUAGGAAUAGUUUUCUAUAUGUUAAUGAAUAGAAUAAUAGGGCAAAUAACCUCCUAACUGUAUUAGAAGUCGUGGGUUAUAAUUAGGGUAAGUAGAAAAAUAUCCAGAAUGCCCUUACUUAAGUCCCUUAAAACCCGUUACAGGGAUACGACUGACCUUCUUACAAGUUGUACCCUUCCUUACGAUUGGUUCCCACCAGUCGUACCCAGGCCUUAUCCUUAGAUCAUAUAUUUUCUAGUAUACAACUCAUCCAACCAAGUCAUAACCUCAGCAUACGAUCCGUACCUAUGAUCCGUAUCCCUGGCAGAAUGAAUUACCAAGAGGAUUAAACACUGCCCACCAUACGAGUCUCUGAUAUGACUCGUAUGCUAGCCUUACGACUCAUACCCUAAAGUUGUGACUAUUCUAGUGAUCAAAACCAUCCCACUAACUAAUACUGGUCAGCUUACGACAAGACCAUACCACUCAUACCCCAAUAUACGACUCAUAUCCAUGAGUCGUAUUGGGUUUGAAGAAUGAUUUUCAAGGAAAAAUUUCUAAGGCCAAAACCCAAGAUGUAAUAUUCUCCCCCACUAGGAACAUUCGUCCCUGAAUGAAGAACAAGGUAGAGGUAACCACCCACAGAGUAAUUUGCAUUAUCAAACAUCCCUUUAACAAAGUUUGAAAAUAAAGAGGCAAAGAUAUUAAUCUUUCCUUUAACAAACUCAGAAAAUAAAGAUGUGUUCAAGAACAUAUACCUUUUGCACGAAUACUAGGAGUAAAAAAUAAAUGCAGAUACUUAGACUUCAUGUCCUCUUCCGCUUCCCACAUUGCUUCUUUCACCUUAUGGUUUCACCAAAGAACCUUAACCAAAGGCACAUCCUUUAUCCGCAAUUGAUGAACCUGCUUAUCCAAUAUCUCAACCGGUACCAAUACAUAAGCCAGAGAAUCCGAUAUAUCCAACCCUUCCAAAGAAAUAACCAAAGAAGGAUCACCAAUACUCUUCCUCAACAUAGAAACAUGAAUGACUGGAUGAACCAAACCCAAACUCGCAGGCAACUCUAACUCAUACGCAACAUUGCCCGCUCUCUGCAAAAUCCCAUAAGGACCAAUAAAUCAAGGACUGAGUUUUCCCUUCUUGCCAAUCCAGACUACUCUCUUCAUAGGAGAAACCUUUAGGAACAUCCUAUCCCCAACCUCAAGCUCCAAGUCUCUAUGCCUGACAUUUGCAUAGGACUUUUGACGACUCUGAGCAGCCUUAAUCUUAUCCUGAAUCACCUCACCUUCUCCAUAUCGUAAUAGACCAAAUCGGAACCAAAUAUAUCUGCCUCAUCAAACUCAAACCAUCUAAUAGGAGAUCUACACCUCCUACCAUAAAAUGCCUCAAAAAGAGCUAUACCAAUACCAGAAUAAUAGCUAUUGUAUUAAGAAAACUCUACCAAAGGUAGAUACUUAACCCAACUUCCACCAUAAUCAAUCAGGUAUGCCUGAAGUAUGUCCUCUAAUGUAUGAAUAGUUCUCUUCACUUGUCCAUCUGAAUGUGGAUGAAAAGCAGUACUCUGACUAACCGUAGUCCCCAAUCCCUUCUGGAAAGACCGCCAGAAAUAAGAGGUAAACUGCGUACCAUGAUAAAAAAAUAAUCAAAACAGGCACCCCAUGAAGCUUUACAAUCUCUUAAAAUACAACUUCGCAUACUUUCUCGUCGAAAAGGUAGUCUUUACUGGCAAAAAGUGAGAAGGCUUGGUCAUCCUAUCCAUGAUGACCUAAAUCAAAUUAAAAUAAUUUUGAGACCAAGGAAGACCAGUAACAAAAUCCAUAUUGAUCAUAUCCCACUUCCAUUUAGGAAACUCUAUUUCUUGAUGCAACCCACCAGGCCUCAUAUGCUCAACCUUAACCUGUUGACACACCAUGCACUUGGCCAUGAAGUCAACCACAUACUUCUUUAUACCAUUCCACCAAUAGAUUUCCUUGAGAUCAUGAUACAUCUUUGUCGAACCAGGAUGGAUAAUAUAGCACAAAUUAUGUGCCUCAAUCCUAAAUCCUUUGUUGCAAAUCAUCAAUAUUCAAAACACAUAACCUCCCUUGGUACCGCAAAGUAGAUCACCACUAGUCUCAAACACCACCACCUUUUCCCACAAAUAUCACUCUUGAUUCUCAUCAGGACUGGAUCCAACAUUUGCUUCUCCUUAAUCUCUGCACCUAGAGAUGAUCGAACCACUUCUUGCACCAUCACACCACCAUCUUUGAAAUCCAAGAGACAAACUUCAAUAUUGGCCAAAUGGUGAACGUCCUUCACUAAUUCUCGCUUUCCUUCCUCUACAUGAGCAAACUCUCCAUAGACAACCUGCUAAGAGCAUUGGCAACCACGUUAGCCUUACCUAGGUAGUAGUGAAGACUCAUAUCAUAGUCCUUGAAAAGCCCAAGCCAUCUCCUUUGCCUGAUAUUAAGGUUCUUCUUUGUGUACACGUACUGAAGACUCUUAUGAUUCAAAAAGAUAUCUAUGUGAACACCAUACAGAUAAUGCCGCCAUAUCUUUAAAGCAAACACAACCGCCAACAGCUCUAAAACAUGAGUCGAAUAAUUCCUCCCAUGCACCUUUAACUUCCUGGAAGCAUAGGCAAUCACCUUCCCAUGUUGCAUCAAAACACAACCAACCCCUACCUGAGAUGCAUCACAAUAAACCACAAACCCAUCAUUGCCUUCUGGCUAGUCAAAAUUGGAGCCAAGGUCAACCUACCCUACAAUUUCUCAAAACACCCCUCACAAGAAUCCAACCAAGAAAACUUAACCUUCUUCUGAGUUAACUUAGUCAAAGGAGCAUAUAUCGAUGAAAAACUUUCCAUAAACCACCUGUAAUACCUAGCUAAACCCAAGAAUCUCUGAACAUCGAAUAGAGUAGUAGGCCUAGGCCACCUCUUCACUGCAGCAACCUUUUAAGGAUCAUCCAUUGUCUCCUCACUAGAAAUAAUGUGACCUAAGAAAGUCACAACAUUCAACCAAAACUCACACUUAGAGAACUUGGCAAACAACCGCUAUUCCUUUUAGGUCCAUAACACCAUAUAGAGGUGAUUAGCAUGAUCUACCUCACUCCUUGAGUACAACAGAAUAUCAUCAAUAAACACAAUGACAAAGAGAUCUAAAUACUGCCAAAACACUCUAUUUAUCAAAUUCAUAAACAUCGUCAAAGCAUUUGUCAAUCCAAAUAAUAUCACCAAGAACUAAAUAUGCCCAUAUCGAGUACGAAAAGCUAUCUUAGUAAUAUCCACCUCCCUAAUCUUAAGAUGAUGUUACCUAGACUGAAGAUCUAUCUUGGAAAAAAAUUUGGCACCCUGCAAAUGAUAAAAUAAAUUAUUUUUUCUUGGGAGAGGAUACUUGUUCGUGACCGUUACCUUAUUCAACUGCCUAUAGUCAAUGUACAUUCGAAGAGAACCAUCCUUCUUGCACACAAACAACACCGGUUCACCCUACAGAGAACUACUAGGACAAAUAAAACCCUUAUCCAGAAGAUUCUUAAUUUGCUCCUUGAGUUUUCUUAACUUUGUCGAAGCCAUUCUAUAUGAAGGAAUAGAUAUGGGAUGAGUGUUCAGAAGUAAAUCAAUACCAAACUCUAUUUCUCUAUUCGGAGGAACCCAGGAAGAUCAUCCAAAAAGACCUCUGGAAACUUAUUAACUACCGGGACUAACUAUAAUAAAGGACCUCCCUAGUUAGAAUCUUGAACCCGAACCAAGUGAUAAAGACACCCUUUAGAGAUUAACCUUCGAUCUUUAAGAUAAGAAAUAAAUCUUCCCUUAGGAGCUAAAGAACAACCCUCCUAUUCUAUUUUUGGCUUAUCACGGAACCUAAAAAUGACCUUAUGAGUCCAACAGUCUAAAGACGCAUAACAAGUAUGAAACCAAUCCAUACCCAAAGUUACAUCAAAAUCCACUUUUCCUAACUCAAAUUGAUCUACCAAGGUCUGCCUGUCUCCAAUAGAUACCACACCCCCUAUAGACCCGUUCAAUAAUGAUCUAGUCUCCUACUGAGGUAGAAAUAAAAAAAGGACCUGAAAUAAUUUCCUGAUUAAAACCAAAAAACACAGCUAUAUAAGGAGUCACAUAAAAAAGAGUAGAGCUCGGAUUAAGUAAAUAAUAUACAUCACGUGAAAAGAGCUAAAACAUACUAGUAACACCAUUAGGUGAUGCCUUAAAUUCCUAUCAGGACGCUAAAACAUACAACCUAUUCUGAUCAAAACUAAAACUAGAAGCAGUAAUAAAAGAAGAUAACAUACCACCAGGUAUAGGAGUAGAAGAUGAAGCCACCAAAAUCUUAUUCGUCCCUGUAGCAACCUUAUUAGCCGGUCAAUCUUUGAGCUGAUGGCCUACUUGGCAGCACUUAUCUCUACCUUUAUCAUAGAAUCCCUAAUGAGGAUGACAACAAAACCAAAAAGGAGGGCAUAAAGAAAUAGACUGACCUCCAUUCGCCUGAGAUUAGACAACUUCAGCCUGAGAAUUAUCACCACCUUUGAGACUUCUGUCGCCCGACUACUGUGCGUAAGGAGCACUGGCAGUAGAGAAGGAACCAGAACUUCCCUACUUUUUUUCUACUACUUGCCAUUAUCUCUAAAACCCUGAGAUUGCGCACCUCCCUGAUUAAAAAAUCUGCCCCACUUUCUCUAUCUAUCCCUAAAUUCCGCUUACUUUUUCUUCUUAUUCUCAACUUACUGCAUAUGAACAGUCAUCCUAGAGAUGUCUAUAUCCCCAAUGAGCAAAGUAGUCUUUCUUUCCAAAAUCAGAUCUUUAUUCAACCCAGAAGCAAACUUUCUUAUUCUCGACCUUAUAUCAUCCACCAAAUUAGAAGCAUACCUUGACAAUGAAUAAAACUUCAAGGCAUAUUCCCUUACAAACAUCCUUCCUUGCUUGAGGUUCAUAAACUCCUCCAUCUUAGCUUUCCUAAACUCUUGAGUAAAGAAAGGAUUUAUGAAGGUAUUAGAAAAAGACUCCCACAAUCCUUCCUCUUCUAUAUCACCCUUAUCUCUAUCCCACUCCUCAUACCACUGAUAAGAAAUAUUUUUGAGAUAAUAAGCUACAAAUCUAGCUCCCUUUAUAUCAAAAGCCUGCAUAAUCCAAAAUAUCUUUUCCAGUUCAUCCAAGAAUCCUUGUGGGUCUUUUUCUACCUUCACUCUCAUAAAAAUAGGAGGACCCAUCUUCAUAAAUUGACAAACCCUUUUGGACUCAGCAGAUAAAGUACUAGACGUACCCUGCUCGACCCGAAUAAUGACCAUCUGAUCAAUAACAUGGAUAGACUGAUGAAACUUUGCAUUCAUUAUGUGACCCUGAGGUACCUAAGGAGUAGUAGGAGGAACAGAAGGGACUUCAACUCAAUUAAGAAUAGGACCAUGGGAUCGAAGAUAUACCCCAGAUGUAAGAGGUACCCCUUCAACAUUUUCCCCAGAUAAGGCAGAAGAAUUCCUUUGCAUUCCAGAUUUAGGAGGUAUGAUCUGAAAGACAAAUAACGAAGGAUUAGAGAGGAUUCCAAGACUAAGAAUUUUAAGAAAGUGAAAUAUUUCUAAAUAUCUUGCAACCUCUCUUUUAUGAGUGUGGUGCACUACACACCCUUAAAAAAGACUCUACUGACACGAUUUUGUGGACUUCCCAGUUGGCCAUGAACCUAAAGCUUUGAUACCAACUAGUCACGACCCAAACCAGGGCCUAGACAUAAUGGGCAUCCCAAGUCCAACCAGGAUUGGGGACCGCUCCCUUAACCCAACCCAACCGCCUUAUACAACCUUAGAUGGACAAAAUUUCAAUCAUAUAACAAGAUAGCUUAUUGUUCACAUCUAGACUCUAGGAUAGGAUCAUGACCGUAAUCCACCCAGCUGAGUCUAACUAUACAAAAACCAACCAUCUAUACCAUACCAAACCAAAGAGAAUAUCAAAACAUAAUAUGACAAUCAAUCAUAAAAUGUAAUCCGAUGGAAAAGUGAUAAAUUAUGUCAGAUGAUGCCAACCUCCCAGCUUAUUCUAUUACCAAGGCUAACACUAAUACCGAUCCCACCUAUACCAACCCCCAGAAGUACCACAAAGCCUAUAUCCAAAAGAAUACAAAUAUCCGAUUAGGACAUGCCCCUAAUCAUGGCCAAAAUCAAUAUCCAAAAUUAAAACCAAAUGUCUAAAAGUAUCUAUAUUAUAAAAUGGAGCCUUUUAAAAAGAUGGAAGCUUACCACUUUAAUCCAAAUGAUGUCCCCAAGUCAAUCACUAUGUAAGAGGAGUCAAACAGUCGGUUCCUACAUAGCAUGGUAUACAACCACCAAGAGACCGGUUAGCAAGUGACUGCUAGCAUGUAUCUUAGUAUAAAGAUAAAGUAAUACCAUUUAAAUAACCAAGUAAAAUCAUCCAUUAUGCAUACAACCAUACAUAUAUAUAAGUGCUGGGAAAAGGAAUUUGUGUUUUCCAUGCAUUUAAAACUUUUUUACUUGGGCUGUGUAACCUUGCUAUUUAACCACACCAAUGGGCCAUAUGGGUUCAACUUUCCUUGCUGAAAGAGUCCCAGUGCGUGUAGCCGCACGACCAGUAAAUAUCUCAUGGUAUGACUAGUAUAUCUCUCCAAUAUAAAAUAUGACACUUGUACAUGGACAUCAAAGACCCCUAUACCUCAAUACACUCCUAUAUAGGCAAAUCAUGAAACACAAACAUAAAUCACAGUAUUUAAGAUCAAGACAACACCAAAAAUUGAACAUAUAUGAGGCAAAAGAUGGUAAAAUAAGGUGAUUUUUAGCCUCACAUUAGUGCUCCAGUUGUUGGGCAGUUAGGGCCUCGGUGGAAUGUUACCCUUGCCUAUCGCACGAAAACAGAAUCACUCAAGAGGUUAAGGUAGGUGAUGUUCUAGUUGAUGGGCUAUUAGGUCCUCGAUGAACCGUCCCUCUAAUCCUCACCACUUAAACAAAAUAUCACCUAAGAUGAUAUUUAGUAAUGGUUCAGGUGAUGAAUUGUCAAACCCUUCAAUAAUUCUUUAUAUGACGUGUCAAGAGUGAAGUGGCAGUCCAGGUUUGUAUUUUAAAUUACCACCUUACUAGAGCCUAUAAAUACCUAGUGUAGGGUAUAUAAUAGACAUCUUUAAGACUUGGAUAUUUUGUUACACAUUUUUUUCUAAGAAGCAACUUUCAUAGGGCGAAAAUACAAGAUUCUUGGCUUGGAUUAUAGAUUUGAAUUCUAUAUUUCUAUGUUAUUUUGCUCCUUAUAUCAUGUAAUAUAGCUAUUUCAUAUUUUUUCUUGUCAUGAGUAGAUUAAAACCCCAUAGCGAGGGUUGUGGGAUCCUUGGUGGAAAAUUACUUCUAGGGUUCAUGUGGUACUAAAUUUAGAUGAACGUUGUGAUUAUAUUACUAUUCUCUUUAGUUUAGCAAAUUCCUAAGGAUUUCAAAUAGUAUAAAAAGUUCUAAUAAUUAACUUGCUUGAGUAAAGAGGUUAAUAUCACAAAAAGGUUGUAGUAACAAGAAUGCAGAGUUUCUAAUCUUCGAAUAAAGAUUAAUGUUUUAACAAGAUUAGUAUCUCAUGGAUUAAAUAAAAUUAGAAUCUCAUCAAUUUAAGUUUGGAAGAAUUAAAGUAAAAAUCAUCUACGUAGAUUGGAAAACACUUAGGUGAAGAAUUGAAAUCGAUUUUCUUAUGAUUGCAAAUGUUGCUGCAAAAUCAUAUCUUACAUGACUCGAAAGUGAUGGAACACCAAGGUGAACACAAUCCUAGUUUGUUUUCUUUCAUUGAUUUAUAUGUUGUAAAAUUAAUUUUUACAUUAUUACAUAAGAACAAUUAUUUACACACUUGUCAAUGCAAAACCCCCUAUUCCAUGAAAAUUGUUGACUAAUCGUCAUUUACAUACAUACCACUUAGUUAACAUCUUAUUCCUUAUGUGAUUCGACCCUAACAUCUGUUGGUUAUAUAUAUGAUAACGAAUGCUUACACUUUUUUAAAAGAGAGCUUUACUUUGGGUGUAUAAAAUUUUGGCACCAUUGCCGGAGAAUACGAUUGUCGAUUAAGUUUAUGUGUGUAAUUUGACUUUUAGUCUUAUUUUUUUAUUUUACUUUUAUUUGUUGUUUUUGUAUUUGUAGGCUACUAUUUGUGCCUGCCAAGUACUUGUUGUUUAGUUGAACCACUAUUACCUUACAAUCCUUAACUCCAUAGGACAUUAAUGGGAAAUAUAGAUGCAUAAUAAGAAGCAAAAAGACUGGCUACACUUGACACUGCCUAGUUGGACUAACAAAAUACAGAUGCACCCACCAUAUUCAAAACUAUGACAAUAAGGAUCUUAUUGAUGAUGAGUUGGUUGAUCAUAUGAAUGGGCGACGUAUUAAUACUAUUGCUCAACCAAUCAAAAUCAGUGAGUAUGAGACAAAGAAUACCAAUAGCCUGCAACUAACUUUGCCUUAGAUAAUAAUGAUGAUGUUGAUUAGAUGAGAAUGGUGCUACUGAAAGGAUUGUGUUACCCCCACUGGCUCCUUGGGUUAUGUUUAGCAUUACUAGCAUAAUAAUACAAUUGCUGAACCUAAAAGAGUUAUUUGGUGAUUUUCCUGGUGAAGAUCUAAACAUUCAUUAGGUAAACUUUAUCAAUCUAUGCAAAUCCUUUAAUUAACCUAGAGUUGGUCAGAAUUCAGUCUGGUUGAGUUUAUUUCCAUUGUUUCUAUAUGGGGAGGCGACUUUGCAGUUAACCAAACUCAUGCUCGAUUCUCUAACAAACUAGAGAUAGUUGAAAUGAGCUCUUUUGGAAAGGUUUUUUUGUCUUCUAAGAUAUUAUAGUUGAGGAACAAGAUAAGCAACUUUAGGCAACUAUCAAAUAAGGCAUUACAUGAGAUAAGUCUUAGAGUUAAAAAAAUAUUGAUUUAAUGUCCAAUCAUAAAAUAAUUAAUGAGCACUUGAUGGAAAUAUUCUAUAGGGCACUGAACUUGAACAUGAAGCCAAUAGUUGAUAAUGUAGUGAGAGGUGCAUUCCUAGACAUACUUUUAUGUAUGUAACCAUGACACUGGAUAAGUUGAUCAAAACUAGUAGAGUUUUGCAUAUAAAGGAUUCAAAGGUAGCAAGCAACACGUAUACAAUUGGUAUGUUGGCUUAGCAACGUCGAAGAAAAAUAGAGCGCAAACAAGAUAUGAAAUACAUGAAGACUCAAAUGGAUUUACUUACUAAAUGCUUGUUGUCUGAUAGUGUUGAAAAGAUGAAGGAAAUUGGUUCGCGAAGUAGAGAAAUUAAAUCUAAUUUUGACGAAGAAGUUAACAACUUGAAUAAUCAAGGGGGUUUCUUAGCUAACGACUAAGGAAAUUAAGUAUGAAACUAUCAAAUGGAUAAUUAUUAUGAAAAAUAUGGUUAUAAAGAUCAUGAUCAAGGGAAUAAGAAGAAUAAGGGCAAUCAAAGUGGGUUGUAUGUAUCACUAGGCAAUUGUAAUAACGCUAUAAAUGACUCAGGGAAGCUUUCCAUGGAAGCCACGAUGGCUAAGCUAUUUAAAGGAUGAAAUCUACUGAUGUAGGUGUCAAAAAUAUGAAAAACUGACUUACCAACUAUGAGUCAACUAUUUGAUUCUCAUUCCAUUUCUAUCAGGAAGUUAGAGCAUCAAAUAAAUCAAUCAUCUGCCUUCAACCAGCAGAAGAGUGGAACUUUGCCAAGUGAUAUGGUGUAAAAUUUGAGAAAUAAUAGAAUAUAUCUAUCUAUCACCACGAGAAGUGGUUGAGUGUUUCUAAACCACAUCUAAUAGUUCAAACACAUAUAGGUGAUAUUCUCUUUGAGAAAGAAAUCAUCGUUGAUGAUAUUGAUUUAAAAUGUGGUCCAGCUGAGUCUGAGAAACUACAAGAUAUAGGUAAAACAAAGGCUACUAUAGGCAGUCUCCUAAAUUAAUGAAUGAGGAUGGGUUGAGCAAUAAAAAGGGAAAGGAAGGGAAAACACCACUAGCUCGAAUUCUUAGGCCUCUUCUUAUAUUUAUAAAUAAGAUGAAAAAUAAGGCAGUAGAGGGAAAAUUUAGUAUUUCAUGUCUAUGCUGAAGUAGUUGUCUGUAAUAUUCUAUUGGUGGAAGAUUUGGAACAAAUACCAGAAUAUGUGAAGUUCAUAAAGGACUUAUUCACUAAGAAGAGAAUAGUGAGCUAUGAAUCGGUGGACAAUCUUCAUUACCAUAGUACAAUUUCUACAAGAGUAUUGGUCCAAAAGAUAUAUAGUCCUAGGGCAUUCACCACUUGUACAUAAUUGGUGCAUUCAAUUUUGUGAAGGCACUUUGUGACCUCGGUGCAAGCAUCAAUUUAAUGCACUUGGCAAUAUAUCAGAAGCUGGACUUGGGAGCUGACGUCCAUGCAGUUAUUAAUGGCUGACCAUUCAGUCAAACAAUCUAUUAGAAUUCUCUAUGAUGUAUUGGUGAAAGUGGAAAAUUUUAUAUUUUUGGAAGACAUCAUAAUUCUUGAUUGUGAGGUUGACUUUGAAGUUCCCAUAAUCUUGGGUAGACUAUUUCUAGCCACCAAAAGAGUGUUGGUAGAUAUGGAGAGAAAUAAGCUUAAAUUUAGGCGCAAUAAUAUGGUUAAAACUUUGGCAAUAAUAUUAAUGAAUUUCAAUAGUGAUGUCAUUGAGAAGUAUGAUAAGAUAGUUUGUACAUUUACAAGGAUAGGCUUAUAUUCAUUUUCUCUGAAGAAGUUGGACCUGGACUUAAAAAGUAGGCCAAAACCUCCAACAAAGUCAUCCAUUGAAGAACCACUAGUGCUAGAGUUGAAAGAAUUGUCAGACCACUUUAUACAUGUUUUUUGGUGAAAAUAAUACUUUGCUAGUGAUUAUUAUGGUGGAUUUGGUUGAAUAUUAAGUAAAUGAUCUUGUAUCAGUGUUGAGAAGGUAUAAAAAAGGCUAUUGGGUGGACUAUCAUAAACAUUAUUGGCAUCCCAUCAUGGAUUUGUACUUAUAAGAUUUAGUUAGAGAAAGACUGCACUCCUACUAUUGAAUAUUAGCACAUGCUUGAUCCACCAAUACAAGAGGUGGUAAAGAAAAAGAUAAUAAAGUAGUUCAAUGUAGGAGUGGUGUACCCAAUCUCUGAUAGCUUGUGGGUAAGCUCAAUCCAGUGUGUCCCUAAGAAGAGAGGUAUGACUGUGGUGGCUAAUGAGAAAAUGAGUUGAUUCCACUUAGUCCAGUCACAGGAUAGAGAGUAUGCGUGGAUUAUACAAAGCUGAACUCUUGGACGUUUUGAGAUUAUUUUCAAAUUUCUUUUUUGAAUCAAAUAAAGGAUAAAUUAGCAGCAAGGGGUUUGUAUUGCUUCUUGGAUGGUUAUUCAGGAUACAACAAAAUAUCCAUUGCACCCAAAGACCAAGAAAAUACAAUAUUCAUAUGUCCCUAUAGUACCUUCACUUUCAAGCGAAUGCCUUUUGGAUUACGUAAUGCACUAGCUACUUUCCAAAGGUGUGUGAUGUCUAUUUUUUUGGAUAUGGUGGAGAACACUUUGGAAGUGUUUGUAAAUGAUUUUUCUAUAGUAGGUAAUUUGUUCGAUGAUUGUUUGACAAACUUGAGAAAUGCUAUGCAAUGUUGUGAAAAGUUCAACCAUGUUUUCAACUAGGAAAAAUAUCACUUUAUACUGAAGGAGGGCAUAGUACUGGGACACAAGAUCUCAGCUAAAGAAACCAAAGUUGACCGGGCCACUAUUUAGGUAAUUAAAAAACUAUCUCUACCAAUCUAGGUAGAGGGUGUUCAUAGUUUCUUGGGCCAUGUAGGAUUCAAUUAGAGGUUCAUUAAAGAUUUCUCUACGAUUGUCAACCCUUUGUGUAAACUAUUGGAGAAGGAGGCUAAACUUUUAUGGAAUGAUAAGUGUCUGAAGUCCUUUCAGUUCCUCAAAGAGAAGUUGGUUGAUGCACCUAUUGUUAUUAUGCUAGAUUGGUCCAAACCAUUUGAAGUGAUGUGUGAUGCCAGUAGAGUUGCACUUGGGUCUGUUCUUGGAAAAAAAGAGAGAAAUUAUUUCGCCCUAUUCACUAUACAAGUAACAUAUUGAAUGAAGAUCAAAAUAAUAUAAUGUUAUAGAGCAAGAUCUCCUAGUUAUUGUUUAUGACUUUGAGAAAUUUAAGGCGUACUUGCUUGGAACUAAAGUUGUCAUUCAAACUUAUAAUUUGAUAUUGAGAUGCUUGAUUUAAAAGAAAGAUGCCAAACCUAGCCUAAUAACAUGGGUGUUAUUGUUAUGGGAAUUUGACUUUGAAUUCAAGGAUAGGAAAGGUUGCAAAAAACAGGUAGCAACAUCUAUCUAGAUUGGAGAAUGAAGGGAAAAAGUCGAAUAAGUUAGAAACUAUUGAUUCAUUCCUAGAUGAAUAGGUACUUGAGGAUACCCUUGACCUUAUACCUUGAUAUUUAGAUCUUGCCAACUAUUUGGCAAGUAACAUCAUCCCAAAAGAUCUAAAUUUUUAGCAAAUAAAGAAGCUUCUUGAUGAUGUGAACAAUUAUUUUUGGGAUGAGCCUUACCUAUUCAAAUUGUGUGCAGAUAAUAUCAUUUGAAGAUAUGUGCUAGAGGUGGAAAUGUUAAAUAAUUUACAUACUUGUAAUGAAUCCCAAUGUAAUGAUAUCAUGAGUGUAAUUGCACCACAAGAAGUUGUGGCAUUAGCUGACAAUGAGGGAAAAAGUGUGGUGGCGUUCUUGAAAAAGAACAUUUUCUCUUGUUUUGGUUCUCCCUGCAUCAUAAGUGAUGGGGUUCCCACUUUAGUAACAAGGUAUUCUAGCCAUGAUAGAAAAGUAUCAUGUGAAGCAACAUAAGGUGGCCACCUCUUAUCACCCAAACCAGUGGGAAAGUGGAAGUGUAGAAUAGAGAGAUUAAGAUAAUAUUUGCCAAGUCUGUUAAAGCAAAUCAGGGUAUUUUUCAUAGAAGCCUAAUGAUGCUCUUUGGUCUUACCAUACCUUUUUAACACGCUAAUAGGUAUGUCCCCAUACCAAAUAGUCUUUGGUAAAGCUUAUCACUUACCAGUGGAGCUUGAGAAAAGUCCUUGUUGGCACUAAAAAAGCUGAACUUAAGAUAAGAAGAUAAUGCUGAGAUAAGGUUGGACAAACUAAAUGAGACAGAUAAAUUCCAUCUUUAUGCAUAUAGGAGAUCUACUCUCUAUAAGGAGAGAAUAAAGUUGUACCAUCAUAGAAAUAUUGAAAAGGGAGUUUAAGUGAGUGAUUUAGUAUUUUUAUUUAAUUCAGGGUUUGAAUUAUUUUUGGCGAAGCUGAAAUUGAAGUGGUCCAGAUCCUUCAAGUUAAGUAUAUCCAUCCGGAGUGGUAGAAUUAAAAAACAAGGAAGGUUUUUCAAGGUCAAUUGCAACGAGUCAAAUAAUAUUUUAUUCGACAAGAAGAGGUGAAGCUAGUAACAUUGUAACAUUGAGUUGAGGGUUCAAAAGCCACAAUCAUUCUGGCCCCACUCUUACACUACUUUAAAAGCAUUAGAUAUCCCCACAGGUAUGACAUCACCUCUAAUUGCUUUGAUCCAUAGUGUACUUUUUCAAUAGCUAGGGUUGCUCCUACUUUCCUAAAUACCGAGACUGCAUCUAUGCUACCUGUUUACUUUUAGUAUAACUUUACACCAGAGAAUUUUUAAAGGUUGUCAAUGCAUAAAAGAAAUUUAAAAGGCAGUUGAAUGCAUUGGUUAAGAAAUUCAAAUCAUUCUUGGAUAACAUCAUUGCAGAGGCUUUAAAACUCUAUGAGAAUUCAUAUGCCUAUAUGGAUAUCAUGGAGGAGAGAGUGAACAAUAGGCUAUGAGAACUUUUAAUUCCAGAUUUAGCUAAGUUCACGAUCAAACUAAAACAUCUCAAGUUGAUAUAGCCAACUUGAAGAAAAUCCCAUCAUAGACAUAUUUGAUUUAUGGAUAGUGGAGUUGGAGGAUGAUGAAGAUCUGAUAGGAAACUAUUUAAAUAUAAAGGCAAGGAAGUAAGUAAGAAUAAUGAAAAGAAGAGGUUGAGAAAGAGAAAGAAUAAAAACUGAAUUGAUGAAGAGAGAGCUAUGAGAAAACCAUCAAAGCAAUCAAAGAAGGAUGAAAAAGCUAGGAUAAAGAGAGUGAUGGAUGAGGUGGCAGGUGUAUUCACCAAUUCAUCACAUGCAAGUGGGUCAAAACCACCGAUAUUACCAACGUAUACUCUCGUACAUGAUAGAGUUACUGAUUUAAGUACCCCGGUCACUUUUGGGUCACUGUUGCUGAAACUGAGGCUAGUCAGGCCUCCAAAGACUUGCUGGACUCCUAGGUCGAAGGUCUUUACAAGUAUUUCAUCACUUGUAAUUGUACUAUUGUUGCAUUGAGGACAUUACAUUUUUUUUAGGUGGGGGCNNNNNNNNNNNNNNNNNNNNNNNNNNNNNNNNNNNNNNNNNNNNNNNNNNNNNNNNNNNNNNNNNNNNNNNNNNNNNNNNNNNNNNNNNNNNNNNNNNNNNNNNNNNNNNNNNNNNNNNNNNNNNNNNNNNNNNNNNNNNNNNNNNNNNNNNNNNNNNNNNNNNNNNNNNNNNNNNNNNNNNNNNNNNNNNNNNNNNNNNNNNNNNNNNNNNNNNNNNNNNNNNNNNNNNNNNNNNNNNNNNNNNNNNNNNNNNNNNNNNNNNNNNNNNNNNNNNNNNNNNNNNNNNNNNNNNNNNNNNNNNNNNNNNNNNNNNNNNNNNNNNNNNNNNNNNNNNNNNNNNNNNNNNNNNNNNNNNNNNNNNNNNNNNNNNNNNNNNNNNNNNNNNNNNNNNNNNNNNNNNNNNNNNNNNNNNNNNNNNNNNNNNNNNNNNNNNNNNNNNNNNNNNNGGGGGGGGAGGUACUUGUGAGUCUGUCUUCAGAAGGGUUUUUGUUGCUUGUGUUCUUUUCCCUUGUAUGCUAUUUAGUAGAAUCGACAUAUGUAAUAUUUCUAUUUAUGUCUUUAUUCCUGUGAUGUUUUUAUUUAUAUACUGUGCUUGUAAAAAGAGAAUAAUGAAUAAAUGGUUGUUGUUGGUUUGAAUAGAAAAAAUGAGGACCCUUUAAAAAAUUACAGCUAUGCAUAUUGUUCUAUUUUGAUAAUUGACUGAUUGUGGAUUUGUACUUGGCAUUAUUAAUCUCUAAAUAGAGUGAAAAAUUCUAAAGCUAGAGUACAAAUCUGAUAAUUAGUAGUCAGAGUGUCAUUCAUUGCUACGUGUGUGCGAGGAUUUUUUUUAAUUCUUACUUUGUGUAUGCAUCUAGAACUUGUCAUGUCCAUUUUGUUAGGUGAUAAGUUGGUUGUAUAGGAUGGGAUCAUAGGACUUGUUUGGACUUAGUCCACUUUGCCUAAAAGAUUUGUCUAAAUAAUGUAUAUAAAUCUCCUUGAUCCCUAUUUUGAGUUGUAUAACUUUGUUAUCAAUAACUUCUAACCUUAUCUUUUCUAUUGUUUGACCAAUAUUUUGGCCUGGUCACUCCUCGGACAUCAUGCACCUCAACUUAAGAAAAUAGUCUAAGUUAAGGGUGGCUACUAUAGAAAGGUUUGAUAAGUAAAGAAGGGUAUAAAGAGAGUGGAAGUGAAUGAAAGAAGACACUACAAAUACGCAUAAUUAAGGAAGAAUCUCAGAAUAAAAUGGAUAAUAUAAAAAACCCUUAAAUAACAGCAUACUCAAUAAGAGGGAUUUGUUAAAAUAAUGAGGAGAAUAAGGGUAUAACUAUAAAAACAAGUGGAUUUAUGGAAUAGUAUAUGUCAAGGAGGUUGAAUUGCUAUUCCCAAAUAGAUCUAACGUGCACCCAAGACUUUGUUAUAAGCUGAAUAAAGUCCUGUAAUGAUACUUGUCAACCAGUUGUAGAACCUUGUAGAAUGGUAAGGGCAAUCUUAUGGUAUUGCAUAUGCAUUGUUUAAAGUUUGUUAUAAGUGUGAGAGAUUUGAAUUACUGCCCUUAAUUUAAUUAUAUAAGUUUGAAAGAAACUUCUUAGUUAUGAGGGCAUAUGAAUUCUACUUGCUACUACUAGUUAUUAGAUUAGGUAUAUUGAGUAUAUGUAAUGACACUUGUUUGGAGUGUAAUGCCAAGCAUGAAUUCCAACCAGUUAGUUGAUGAAUAACUCAUGUAAUUGUUGCUAACUGAGCCGUGGGUCCAUUUUUCUAUCUAAUGGUUGCUUAUGCUUUCGGAAUCUGAAUACUAACAUAAUAUUAUGAUGCUUAAGUUGCUUGAGGACAAGCAAACAUCCUAAUUAAGGGUGUUAAUGUACUAGCUUACUACGGUACAUCUUGCAUCUUUAGCUAAAGAUAGUUGUAUAUUUUCAAGCAACCGCUGGUGUUUUAAUUAUUUUAUGUUUGCUUUUAGGAAUCAAUCUCAAUGACAGAAAAAAAAGAACUUUGUGCUGUAAGUGUAAUGUGACAGUUCCCUUGAUUGACCGCCAUUACCCUUAUGGGCCGUCUCUUAUUUCUUCAAGCUAAAACAGAAAAGUUGGAAAGCUGAAGCUGGAUGAAGGUCCAGCUGGCGAGCAGUUAGGGCCUCGAUAUAUUAUCACCCCAGCCUGUCACACGAUAAUAGGAUCACUCAAGAUGUCAAGGUAGGUGAAAUUUAAUUAACGGACGUUGCCCUUCCCAUAAACACUUAAAAUAGAAGAUGACCUAAGCUGGUAUUUGGUGAUGGUUCAGGCGACAAACAAUCACCCUUCCAAUGACUCAUCAUAUGACCCGCCAAGGGUCACUACCAGAAAUUACCCCUAUGGCAACGGUUCAAAAAACAUUGCAAUAGAUAUAAAAACCAUUGCCAUAGAGAUAUCACAACGGUUUUUAUGCGUUGCAUAUAUGAGCAUUGGGAUAGGCCUAUUGCAACGACUUUUGCAACGGUUUUUAUAACCAUUGCAAUAGGUCUAUCUAUUGCAACGGUUUUUGUAGCUCCUAUUAUAACGGUUCUAAUUAUCUAUUGCAACGGUUCUUAACUGUUGCAAUAGAGUGUAUUGCAAUGGUUAAGAGAUGUUGUAAUAGACUGUAUUACAAUGGUAAGAACCGUUUAGGCUGAAAAGAGAGGAAGAAUUUUAGCGACAGAAAGCAGGUUUUGAUUGGUUCAAGGAUAGAGAAAGGAACACAAGAUUUUUCCAUGUAAUAGUAAAGGGAAGAAGGUCAAGGCUAAAGAUUAAAAAGAUUCAGAAUAAUGAGGGUAUUUGGCUAGAGAAUCAGGAUGAAAAUACUGAAGCUGCUACUAUGUUCUAUCAGAAUCAAUUUUAGAAGCUAGAGGAUGCUGAGGACUUUACAAUGCUAGAUGUACUACCAAAGGUAGUAAUAGAAGCUCAGAAUGUAGAGUUAAAGAGAAUCCCAAUAAUAGAUGAAGUAAAUACAACAGUUAUGGGAUUGAAUAGAAACAGUGCUGGAGCGCCAGAUGGUAUGACAGGUGCCUUUUUCCAUGAAGCUUGGGACAUAAUAUCUAAGGAUCUACAUCAGAUGGUAAUAGCAUUCUUAUGUGAAUAUGAGCUUCCAAGGUUUAUCACACAUACCAACUUGGUGUUGUUACUAAAAAAAUUAGAAGUGAGCAAUUUUUGAGACCUGAGACCUAUUUCACUUGGCAACUUUAUGAAUAAAAUCUUCUCAAGACUUAUUCAUGAAAGGGUUAAGUAUCUGUUGCCUAACAUUGUGUCUGAAGAACAAGCUGGAUUUUUUCAAGGGAGAAGUAUUACUAAGAAUAUCUUGGUAGUUCAGGAGAUAGUGUCUGAAAUUAGAAAGAGGGAAGCCACCAAACAUGGUCAUAAAUUUAGACAUGAUGAAAGCCUAUGAUAGAAUGGAGUGGCUCUUUCUAACUAAGGUUCUUAGGAAGAUUAGUUUUUGUGAAGAGAUCAUAGACAUGGUAUUCAAAUUACUAUCCAAUAAUUGGUACUCCUUAUUUCUGAAUGGCCAACCUAAAGUUUUCUUUAAAUCAUCAAGGGGUUUUAAGAAAGGGGACCCUCUAUCACCUACAUUUAUCAUCAUUGCAGCAGAGGUACUAUCCAGAGGAUUGAAGGAAUUAAUGUUGUUUGGCAUGCCUAGAGGGAGUCCAAGACUCAAUCAUCUUGGUUUUGCAAAUGAUAUGAUUAUUCUGUGUAAAGCUAAGUUGGGUACUUUACAAUUGAUGACAACAACUUUAGAAAGGUAUGAAUUGGUGUCUGGUUAGAAAAUAAACAAAGAGAAGAGUGCAUUGUAUUUACAUGGUGGUGUAUCCAAUGGAGCAGUUGUUAUGGCUGAAGUUGCUAUUGGAAUCUUAAGGAAGGAAUUUCCAUUAAAUUAUCUAGGAUUUCCAAUAUUCUAUAUGAGAAGGAAAAAUAUUUACUAUCAACAACUUAUGAAUAGAAUCAAUAACAAACAACAAGCAUAGAAGUGUAAGCUUUUAUCCUUUGAUGGUAGAGCUAUUUUAAUCUAGCAUGUUCUUAAAAGUAUAUCCAUACACUUCCUAUCAGUUAGGAAUCCUCCUAGGCAUGUAUUAACUACUAUUCAAAAAUUUCUUGCAAAGUUUUUCUGGAGUAGUACUAUAGGGGAUAGGGGUAGACAUUGGGUAGCUUGGUCCAAAUUGUGUUCACUAGAAGAUGAGGGUGGACUGGGUUUUAGAUUGCUUCAAGAUGUAUCCACAACUCUUUUUUGUAAAUUAUGGUAGAAUCUUAGAACCACAAACUCUAUAUGGAGUGAAUUUUUAUUGAACAAAUACUGUAGAAAGCUCCAUCCUAAAGAGGUAAUAUGGAAAUGAGGAGGAGGACCUCAAGUAUGGAAGAAAAUGCUACAAGUAAGAAUUUGACUGAUCAUCUUAUAUAACAUGGAGAAUAAGGGGAGGAUAUUCACAUAUUUGGUAUGAUAAUUGGAGUGGAAUAGGAGACUUUUACUCUAUUAUAGAGGGCAUCAGGGAAUGGGAUGUUAGACAAUAAAGAGUCAAAGACUUGCUACUGGAUGGGCAGUGAAAUGUAGAGUUGCUGAAUGAAUUAUUUAAGGAGGAUAUAGUGGAACAUAUAAGGAAGAAGGUGUCUCCACCUUAGUAAAAAUUACAAAAGACACAACAAUAUGGUUAUUGGAAGCAAAAGGGAACUUUAGUGUCAAAUCAGCAUGGCAUUAUGUGAGACAUAAAGAGGACACUAAUGACUUCUACAAAUAGGUAUGGAUAAGGGGUUUACCAUUAAAAAUAGUUUUCUUUAUGUGAAAAAUAUGGAGAGAGAGGAUAGCAGUGGAUGCUACUAUUAGAAGGUGGGUAGUAGAGGGACCAUCCAAAUAUUGGUGCUUCUAAAACCCAACACAAGAGACCAUGUAUCAUGUGUUGCUGAGAUAUGAUUAUGCUCAUAGGACUUGGUCCUAUUUCUCUUCUUUUGUAGGAAUAAACAUCCAAGGAUUGAGCUUGACGAAUACAAUUUAUGCAUGGUGGAAUGCAUAUGUGCAUCCAAGAGAGAAAGUGUAUUUCAGAGCAAUACCAAGGAUAAUAAUAUGGGAGCUUUGGAGGAGAAUAAAUGCCUUGAAACAUGAAGGGUAAGGUGAAUCUAUGUAGAGGCUAAUUAUUAAUGUAACCAGAUAACUGAGGAUGCUACUUAAGGUUAGAAAACCAACAUUAGAAUUUUCAUUCGAAUGGCCAGUCAUCAUACAAUAGCUUAGUCAGUUGAGGCCUAGAAUUAAGGUAACACCAGUCCUAUGGGAGCUUCCACAGAAAGGUUGGGUUAAGUACAACACUGAUGGGGUCUCAAAAGGAAACCUGAAGAGUAGCUCUUGGGUUUUUUGUUUAAGGGAUACAAAUGGGGACUUACUACAUGCAGAAAGAGCAGCAAUUGAAGACACAAACAGUAUGGAAGCAGAGGCUAUGGAUAUUUUAAAUGUAGCUAGACAUUGUAGCUCAUCAAAGUAGGAUAAAUUAACCAUUUAGAUUGAUUCUUUACUGAUGUAGAAGCUGAUAAUGAGGGAAUGAGAGAUACCAUGGAGAGUUGAAGACAUAAUUAGGAAAAUCUAGCAACUACUUUCAAUCAAGCAAGUGUAGAUAAUUCAUAUAUACAGAGAAGGAAAUCAAUUAGCAGAUUACUUAGCCAAGAUAACAUUGGAACAAAAGAUAUUUACAUUUACAACAUUCCAACAACUACCAAGUACAAGCAGAAAGAUUCUAAACAGUGAUAAGCAUCAAUGUUCCUACUUGAGGCUAGUAUUAUCAAAGAAGUAGACAACUGGUGAGGCUAAAGUAAGUUUAUCCACAUGCAUCAUAUUUACAACCUGAGAAGGUAAACAAAAGAGCGAAAUUGCUACUUUGCCUAACUACACCAACCAUCUCAGUAGAUCGAGGGGUCAUAAGGUUAAAUCUUCAUUACAUGCAGAUGAGGAAUUUGCUACCAUCCAAUCACAAGUGGGUCCGAGCAUCUUACAAUCUCCAUCCUUUCCACAACUGUGCAAGAAGGACAUUGUUACAUUUUAGAUCAAACAUCAGAAUUAAGCACAACAAUAAAAAUAGCUUACCGAGAUUAAAUAUUAAAUCUCAGUGGACUAGACCGUUCCUUUUAGCACUAAAAAUCAAUCAUACACGCUUACACUGGAGACUCAGCUAGAAUAGAAGAAAAUAUAAUAUCAAUCUAGAGCCAAAGAACAAGUGUUACAUCAAAAAAAGGAGAAAACGAGCGUACUCUUAUAAGCUGGAAAAGGAUUGAACUCAGCAAAACCAAGGCACAGUAUUUAUCACCCAAAGCCGAAGCAACACAAAUUGAGGGUUCUUGAAGUUAAGCAUGGUGAAGGAGGCGGAAAUCUAAUGGCGAAGGAGAUGAUCUUAGCUCAUUUUAUAAACCCUACACAUUAUAUAUAUUCUUUAAGAUUUGGACCGGGUCAUCCAUUGGGUUGAUCCAAUUUCAGUGUUGUAGGUUUGUUUUUUUGUGUUAUUUGGAUGGGUUGGUCCAUUCAUUGUGGACUUUGAUUUUGAUUAUUAAGAAAAGUAAAGAUUAGAAAAAAAGAUUAUAAGUAUUUUAAUUUUCAUAUUAAUAUUGACUUGAUAUAAUUUUAUAAUUUUCAUGUUUUAAUAGUAUUAUGUUAACUUUUUUGUGUUAAAUUUUGAGCUUAAAUUAUAUUUUCAGUUUCAAUUUAUUUGUUUUAGUAAUAUUGACUUGAUAUUUCACAUUGCAAGCCAUUCAUUCUUUUUUAGUUAGAAUUGAUAGAUUAUAUUUUUGUCAAAUGUUUAAGUAAUUUUAUGACAUUAUAUUUAUAAUAUUAAUCUUUUCGUCAACAUGCAUUUCAUGAUGAUCUUAAAAAUUAUGUACUUUUAAUUUUUAUGAGUAAUUAAAUUAAAUAUACUAAUUUGAAAUAUAAAUCGAUUAUAUUUUAAAGUAUUAGUUAUGAACAUAUGUUUAUUUGUUAUAAUAUAUUUUCAAAUGAUAGUAUAUAUCUUAAAUAUUUAAUUCAAUACCAUUUAUGAGGUUCUUAUUUGAAUAAUAUAAAUUAUUAGUUUUGGUAUUUAAAUUUUAUUUUAAAAUUUUUAUUCAAUCAUGUGAUACUCUAGUACAAUCAAAUAGUACAUUUCUAAUUACAUUGUAAUUACAUUGUUACAAACAAACAAGUCCUCAUAAGUACUAUCCUAAUAAUUACACCAAUUUCAGUUACCAAGUGACUUUCCAACCAGACGUCAAUAAACUUCCACAGACGAGUCCCAUAGGCUUCGUUUUUAAGGUUUCAGUAUUGACUCUCGUCUUUUGUCUAACCACACUUACUCAUCAAAAGUUGAUUGCACCUCUUCAAUAAAAGUGUACACUCUUAGUGUUGAAUUAUUUGUCUAUUUCAAUUUGAUACAAAAAUUUAAAAAUAAUAUUUCAAUCCUGUGAUUUUUAAUUACAGAUGUGUAAAAUAUAUUAAAAUGCUUUUUAAUUUUGUGAUCCUAAACAUAUUAUGUGGAAAGUUAGAAUUAAAAAGUUUGAGAUAAAUAUUUUUCCAAAUGCACUAAAAAUAAAAGUAAAACAAACAAAUGAAAACAAAGUGGGUAUAUCUUUUAGGCAAAAUCUGUAAUCACUUAAAACUUGUCACUAAUUUUACUUUAGACACCCAAAUUAUAAUUUAUUUUAAUUGAGUAUUUGAAUACAUAUUAAUAUGUUAUUUUUGACUCAAAAUUCUUUUGCGCAUUAUCUCAAGUGUUCAUUACAUGAACAAGUUAAUCAAUUAAAAUUAUUUUGCACAUUAUCUCAAGUGUUCAUUACAUGAAUAAGUUAAUCAAUUAAAAUAUCACCUUAUUCAAUUAUGUGCAUUGGUCUCAACAUAUCAUAAAACAUCACUUUUUUCAAAGAGAAAAGACAAAGUUCUUCCCUAAAUUUAUCCUCUAAACUUACUUAAACCUUUAUGGGCAAUUAAAUAACCCCCCUCUCCCCCCUCCAUAUUCUUUGAAGGGAAUAAAUAUCACCUUAAAAAUAUAAUAUCAGUAGAACAACAAAAAAUGUAAUAUACACGCCACAUCAAUGGAACAUCAUUACCACGUCUAAUUUUUUUUAUUUUUAAAAAGGCGAUCCCACUAAUUUGUAUAUUAUAUAAUAAUUAAAAAAAAAUGAAAUGCCCUCUGCUCACCCUUUUCUUUUUCAAUACCCACCACCCCCAUUACUUGUUUUUGCAAACCCCUACCCUACCCCUAUCUUUACUCUCUUUCUCGCCUUCUUCAAACCCCUUAACGCAUAUUUUUCUUCAACAAACACGCUUAUUUAUAAUUUAAAUAAUCAAAAGAUCAAACUAACACAACUUAUAUUUAAUCUAAAUAUAUGAGAAAAACAAACAAAAAUAGAGCCCUAUGUUAGAUGCAAUCACAAGUGGAGCGAACAAGAAGCAACAUCUUACUUGAAGAAACACAAUUAUAUAAUUUUAGCUUGAAUCUUUUGAGUAGCUUUAGUACAAAAAAUGAUAUUAAACAAUUUAACCUUGAAAAUUGUAAAAUUGAGAAAAUUGUUCGACUUUAGAAAAAUUGAAUUAGGUAUACGUGUGUUCUUAUUCUAAAUAAUGGGUUUUUGUGAAAAGUAUUUUAAAAUUCACAACUUUUUUCAUAUAGAUUUCUUUCUUUCUUGGACAAAUUGGUGAAGUUUGAUAGAAGUAGAUUGGAGGAUCUAGAAGAAGGAGAAAAGAGAUUGGGUGUUAUACCCCAUAUUAAUCUUAGCUCAGUUCAGCCCAUACCACAUCAUAAGAGGCUUAGAACCUGAAAAUUUAGCUAAGUGUUGGAGUUUAAUUUUAUUUUUGGACUCUUAACUUUGAUAAUUUUUAAAGUUAUCUUCCUGAUCCCGAAAUAUAAGUUUUUGAGUUAAUUCAUGUUCAGGGGUGUAAGGAGCAUGUCUCCGUGAAGUUUUAAAUUUUUCGGAAGAGGUUUGGGCCGUGUUUGGAUUUCAAUUCCAACAGCUCAACACGAUUGUACCACAUCAUGGUGGAAUAGUAAUGGUAUCACUGGUACCUCGUGGUGAUGGACUAAUCUACUUCCCAGUUACGAAUUUAAAUUGCAGAAGGAAAAUCUUGACUUUUUCCAUUGCCCCAAUCUUAUUUACAUAGGAUUUGGCUUCAGUUAAGGAAUAUUAUGCCUAAAAUCCAAAAUUUUACUCUCAACGAAACCCUAAGAUCUUCCCUAAUCCAUCAAAUUAAAUUUCUUUCCUUUCAAGAAAAAUCAAGAAAACAAGUUUUCAACUUUAAGAAUUUCUAAGGAAGCUUAAGGAAUUGUGUUUCUUUUCAAGAAUUUAAGCUUUUAAGGUAUGUUAGAUGUUCAUUCAUAGGUCUUUAUCACCCAUGGGGUCCAAGAACCCAUUUUCAAGAUUAAAGUUAUGAUUUUUACAUGUUAUUGUGAGUUAUCUUCAUGAAUCUAUUAUGAACUUGGAUUUCAAAUUAUGUUUAUCAUAUGAUUUCGUUGGAAUUAGCCUUGACACAUUUGAAUGGUGCUUAUUCGCUUUUUCAAUCUUAAUCCAUGAAUUUAGUAUUGGAAUUAUGCUAUUAUUACAUAUUUAAAAUAUUCCCAUGCUUAAGCCAUGAAUUCCAAGUAUUUGAUAAAAUGCCUAAAUAAUUGAGUUUGAACAAUGACUACUUAUUAUCAUUUUCAAAGCUUUAGUAUGUCUUAUUGUUAUUGUUAUCGAGUCCUGGGGUUAUGAAUACCUGAAAUUUAUCCGUUUACCUAGUUUUCAGUAUCUUCGAAAUAAUUUCAGUCAUACUAUGAGCAAUAUCAUUCAGUAAGUUAAUACAAUCAGUUGUGGGUUCAGUUAAGCUUAAGUCCAGUUUAGUGACCAGUGUCAGUUUAAUUAGGAGAAGGAUUCAACAACGAGCGAACCCAGGGAUGGGGGCAUUCCUGCCAGGUUAGGGUGUUCCCCUUAGAAGUAAUUCCUGAGUUACAGAACUACAUAGCCAGCAUAGGUUGAGAUGUAAUCCUGACAGUUUAGGGUUGAUUCGAAUCUCAUGAGUACUCCUGCCAGAUUAGGGUGACUCUUUAUUCCUUUGGGACACUAGUUUACUGCAUCCACAUAGACAUUAUCAGUAAUUGUGGCACAAUAUUACACCCUUCUAAAUGGGGUUACAGGUUGGACCCCGAUUAUCCCAAAAGGCAUGUCAAUUAGAUGAUACCUCCCACUAUCUCAGUCUAGUAUUUAGUACGAUUCAAUUUAGGUUUGCAUUAACCUUAGCAUACAGUUAUCAAAUAUUCAGUUAAUAAAUGUCAGUAUUUUAGUUUACAGACUAUUUUAGAAUUAUGUUAUAUGCGUUGUCAUGCAUGCUUAGAUUUUAUAGUAUUUAUGCAUUCAUAUAAAUUAUUUAGUUACCUCAUACAAUUCAUGCAGUCAGCUAUUACUCAUGCACAUAACCCAUGCAUAUCAACCUAACCUUAUCUAGCAUACUUAUACAUUUAAUGUACUGACUACAUACUUGUUUCUUAUGCUAUUGUGUCUUAUAUCAUAGGUUCGGACACUCAGGUUCCCCAUCG
rnacentral:lncRNA from 1 species